AUGAACGUUGGCGGCGUGGAUUAGGCAUGCAAGUCGAGCGAGAAUCCCCGCAAGGGGAGGAAAGCGGCGAAAGGGAGAGUAAUACGUAGGUACCUGCCCCCGGGUUCGGGAUAGCUGCGGGAAACUGCAAUUAAUACCGGAUGACGUCCCUGGACCAAAGGUGUGAUUCCGCCAGGGGAUGGGCCUGCGUCCUAUUAGCUUGUUGGUGAGGUAAUGGCCCACCAAGGCCAAGAUGGGUACGGGGUGUGAGAGCAUGCCCCCGCUCACUGGGACUGAGACACUGCCCAGACACCUACGGGUGGCUGCAGUCGAGAAUCUUCCGCAAUGGGCGCAAGCCUGACGGAGCGACGCCGCGUGCGGGAUGAAGGCCUUCGGGUUGUAAACCGCUGUCAGUGGGGAGCAAAUGCAUCAGGGUACUCCCUGGUGUUUGAGCGAUCCGCAGAGGAAGCACAGGCUAAUUCCGU
rnacentral:rRNA from 1 species